CCCUUAGACGUUCUGGGCCGCACGCGCGCUACACUGACCAGUGCAACAAGCAUCCGUCCUUGGCCGACAGGCCCGGGCAAUCUUUGAACGCUGAUCGUGAUGGGGAUAGACUUUUGCAAUUUUUGGUCUUCAACGAGGAAUUCCUAGUAAACGCAAGUCAUCAACUUGCAUUGAUUACGUCCCUGCCCUUUGUACACACCGCCCGUCGCACCUACCGAUUGAAUGGUCCGGUGAAGCCUCCGGAUUGGCGUGCACCCUCGGGUGCUGCCGAGAAGUUGGCUAAACCUUACCAUUUAGAGGAAGGUGAAGUCGUANCA
rnacentral:rRNA from 1 species